UUUGUGCGGCACACCCCUUUACCGUGUUGCUCACGGUUGUUACUACUUCCAUACGAUUCGCGAGCGUCAUAAGGUGGUGCAGAACAUUUUGGAUAUCUAAGUACCCUUUUUAUUGUUCAUUGAAUCAUUCCGUUUUCAUUGGAUGGGGUCGGUGGUUCGGACAUUC
rnacentral:snoRNA from 1 species